UACGAAGGGGGCUAGCGUUGCUCGGAAUCACUGGGCGUAAAGCGCACGUAGGCGGCUUUCUAAGUCAGGGGGUGAAAUCCUGGAGCUCAACUCCAGAACUGCCUUUGAUACUGGAGAGCUUGAGUCCGGAAGAGGUGAGUGGAACUCCGAGUGUAGAGGUGAAAUUCGUAGAUAUUCGGAAGAACACCAGUGGCGAAGGCGGCUCACUGGUCCGGUACUGACGCUGAUGUGCGAAAGCGUGGGGAGCAAACAGG
rnacentral:rRNA from 1 species